rfam:Porcine epidemic diarrhea virus, complete genome
ACUUAAAAAGAUUUUCUAUCUACGGAUAGUUAGCUCUUUUUCUAGACCUUGUCUACUCAAUUCAACUAAACAGAAAUUUUGUCCUUCCUUCCGGCCGCAUGUUCAUGCUGCUGGAAGCUGGCGUGGAAUUUCAUUAGGUUUGCUUAAGUAGCCAUCGCAAGUGCUGUGCUGUCCUCUAGUUCCUGGUUGGCGUUCCGUCGCCUUCUACAUACUAGACAAACAGCCUUCCUCCGGUUCCGUCUGGGGGUUGUGUGGAUAACUAGUUCCGUCUAGUUUGAAACCAGUAACUGCCGGCUAUGGCUAGCAACCAUGUCACAUUG